rnacentral:rRNA from 1 species
UGCAGUCGACGAGGCUUCGGCCUUAGUGGCGCACGGGUGCGUAACGCGUGGGAAUCUGCCCUUGGGUUCGGAAUAACAGCGGGAAACUGCUGCUAAUACCGGAUGAUGUCGAUAAGACCAAAGAUUUAUCGCCUGAGGAUGAGCCCGCGUUGGAUUAGGUAGUUGGUGGGGUAAAGGCCUACCAAGCCGACGAUCCAUAGCUGGUCUGAGAGGAUGAUCAGCCACACUGGGACUGAGACACGGCCCAGACUCCUACGGGAGGCAGCAGUGGGGAAUAUUGGACAAUGGGCGAAAGCCUGAUCCAGCAAUGCCGCGUGAGUGAUGAAGGCCUUAGGGUUGUAAAGCUCUUUUACCCGGGAUGAUAAUGACAGUACCGGGAGAAUAAGCCCCGGCUAACUCCGUGCCAGCA